AGGGCCAUAGCUCAGCGGCAGAUAAUCUGCUUUGCAUUCAGAUUCAAGUCCCAGGUUCAAUCCCCGGUGUCCCCA